rnacentral:rRNA from 1 species
CCUACGGGAGGCAGCAGUGAGGAAUAUUGGUCAAUGGGCGCGAGCCUGAACCAGCCAAGUCGCGUGAGGGAUGAAGGCCCUAUGGAUUGUAAACCUCUUUUAUAAGGGAAUAAAGUGCGGGACGUGUCCGCUUUUGUAUGUACCUUAUGAAUAAGGACGGGCCAAUUCCGUGCCAGCAGCCGCGGUAAUACGGAGGAUCCGGGCGUUAUCCGGAUUUAUUGGGUUUAAAGGGUGGGUAGGCGGCGUUUUAAGUCAGCGGGUAAUGUCUGUGGGUCAACCAUAUGAUAGCCGUUGAAACUGGGGAGCUUGAGUGUGUUAGAGGCAGGCGGAAUGCGUGGUGUAGCGGUGAAAUGCUUAGAUAUCACGCAGAACCCCGAUUGCGAAGGCAGCCUGCCGGGCCAUAACUGACGCUGAUGCACGAAAGCGUGGGGAUCAAACAGGAUUAGAUACCCGGGUAGUC